rnacentral:rRNA from 1 species
CUGAGCGGCGGACGGGUGAGUAACGCGUGGGUAACCUGCCUCAUACAGGGGGAUAACAGUUGGAAACGGCUGCUAAUACCGCAUAAGCGCACAGUACCGCAUGGUACGGUGUGAAAAACUCCGGUGGUAUGAGAUGGACCCGCGUCUGAUUAGGUAGUUGGUGGGGUAACGGCCUACCAAGCCGACGAUCAGUAGCCGACCUGAGAGGGUGACCGGCCACAUUGGGACUGAGACACGGUCCAA